UACAGAGGUGGCAAGCGUUGUUCGGAUUUACUGGGUGUAAAGGGCAGGUAGGUGGUCAUGAAAGUCCAUUGUGAAAUCCCCUGGGCUCAACCCAGGAACUGCGUCCGAUACUGGUGGGCUUGAAUCCGGGAGAGGGAUGUGGAAUUCCAGGUGUAGCGGUGAAAUGCGUAGAUAUCUGGAGGAACACCGGUGGCGAAGGCGGCAUCCUGGACCAACACUGACACUGAGGAGCGAAAGCCAGGGGAGCAAACGGG
rnacentral:rRNA from 1 species